CGAGGGGCAUCAAAAAAAAUAUAAGAUAAGUUUACUUAACUUAUGUUUUUUGUUUGGCAACCGGCGUAAGGGUGAGUAAUACAUACCUAACUUUCCUUAUGCUGAAGGAUAGCCCGAGGAAACUUGGAUUAAUACUUCAUAAUACCAUUUUUUAUUAAGAAAUUUGGUUAAAGUUAUUAUGGCAUAAGAUAGGCGUUUGUCCGAUUAGUUAGUUGGGAAGGUAAUGGCUUACCAAGACAUUGAUCGGUAGGGGGCCUGAGAGGGCGUACCCCCACAUUGGUACUGAGACACGGACCAAACUUCUACGGAAGGCAGCAGUGAGGAAUAUUGGUCAAUGGAGGCAACUCUGAACCAGCCACUCCGCGUGUAGGAAGAAGGCAAUUUAGGUUGUAAACUACUUUUGUAUAUGAAUAAAAAAUUCUAUUUUUAGAAAAAUUGAAGGUAAUAUACGAAUAAGUAUCGGCCAACUCUGUGCCAGCAGCCGCGGUAAAACAGGGGAUACCAGCGUUAUCCGGAUUUAUUGGGUUUAAAGGGUGCGUAGGUUGUUUUUUAAGUCAGUAGUGAAAUCUUAAAGCUUAACUUUAAAAGUGCUAUUGAGACUGAUAAACUAGAGUGAGGUUGGAGUAACUGGAAUGUGUGGUGGAGCGGUGAAAUGCAUAGAGAUCACACAGAACACCAAUAGCGCAAGCAGGUUACUAAACCUAGACUGACACUGAGGCACGAAAGCAUGGGUAGCAAACAGGAUUAGAUACCCUGGUAGUCCAUGCCGUAAACGAUGAUCACUAACUAUUGGAGAAUAAUUCAGUGGUCAAGCGAAAGUGAUAAGUGAUCCACCUGAGGAGUACGACCGCAAGGUUGAAACUCAAAGGAAUUGACGGGGGUCCGCACAAUCGGUGGAGCAUGUGGUUUAAUUCGAUGAUACGCGAGGAACCUUACCAAAACUUAAAUGUAUUACGAAUAAAUUGGAAACAAUUUAGUCAUUAGACGGAGUACAAGGUGCUGCAUGGUUGUCGUCAGCUCGUGCCGUGAGGUGUGAGGUUAAGUCUUUGAACGAGCGCAACCCUUAUUAUUUAGUUACCAUCAAGUAAUGUUGGGGACUCUAAUAAGACUGCCGGCGUAAGCCGAGAGGAAGGUGGGGACGACGUCAAAUCAUCACGGCCCUUAUGUUUUGGGCCACACACGUGUUACAAUGGUCGGUACAAAAGGCAGCAACUGGGUGACCAGAAGCAAAUCUUUAAAGCCGAUCUAAGUUCGGAUUGGAGUCUGCAACUCGACUCUAUGAAGCUGGAAUCGCUAGUAAUCGUGCAUCAGCCAUGGCGCGGUGAAUAUGUACCCGGGCCUUGUACACACCGCCCGUCAAGCCAAAGAAGUUGGAAGUACCUAAAAUCGGUGACCUUUAUAGA
rnacentral:rRNA from 1 species